AGGGAAAUAGCUCAGUGGUAGAGUGCGUGCUUAGCAUGCUGGAGGUUCUGGGUUCAAUCCCCAGUACCUCCA
rnacentral:tRNA from 1 species